rnacentral:rRNA from 1 species
CCUACGGGUGGCAGCAGUGGGGAAUAUUGGACAAUGGGGGCAACCCUGAUCCAGCCAUGCCGCGUGUGUGAAGAAGGCCCUCGGGUUGUAAAGCACUUUCAGUGAGGAAGAACGCCUGGUGGUUAAUACCCAUCAGGAAAGACAUCACUCACAGAAGAAGCACCGGCUAACUCCGUGCCAGCAGCCGCGGUAAUACGGAGGGUGCGAGCGUUAAUCGGAAUUACUGGGCGUAAAGCGCGCAUAGGUGGCUUGAUAAGCCGGUUGUGAAAGCCCCGGGCUCAACCUGGGAACGGCAUCCGGAACUGUCAAGCUAGAGUGCAGGAGAGGAAGGUAGAAUUCCCGGUGUAGCGGUGAAAUGCGUAGAGAUCGGGAGGAAUACCAGUGGCGAAGGCGGCCUUCUGGACUGACACUGACACUGAGGUGCGAAAGCAUGGGUAGCAAACAGGAUUAGAUACCCUGGUAGUC